GAACUAGUUGUUGUGUGUUUCUGAAUCAGCAAUCCAUUAAAGUGAUUGAUCCAUUGAUAAACAGCAUCAUGAGAGGAAUCCAAGUCCCUGUUGGAGUCAGUCAGAGCAUUUCCAUAGAGAGCCACUUUGCAUCAGCAGCACCAUGCUCCAGUGCUCUGGGAGAGUUUAUAGUCCUGAGAGUUGAACACUGGAUGACUGACAGCUGUCCUUCAUGACAACAGAAGACACAGAAAUCCUCCUCAUCAAAAACAUGACUUUGAUCUCCGUCCUCAUCUGGACUCUCCUCUGCUGCUGCUUCACAGAGUCCAGAGGCCAGGUCACAGUGACUCAGUCUGGAGCAGUGAGCUCUGCUCUGGGACGCUCCGUCACCAUCACAUGUAGGACCAGUCAGAACAUCUAUAGUUCUUCCUCUUUAUCCUGGUACCAACAGAGAGAUGGAGAAACUCCUAAACUGCUCAUUUACUAUGCUAGCACUCAAGCAUCAGGGAUUCCAGGUCGUUUUACAGGCAGUGGAUCAAACUCUGACUUCACUCUGACCAUCAGUGGAGUCCAGACUGAAGAUGCAGCAGUUUACUACUGCAUAGGUGGUCAUUACAUCAACAGUCAGUGGUUGUUCACACAGUGA